UACAGAGGUCCCAAGCGUUGUUCGGAUUCACUGGGCGUAAAGGGCGCGUAGGCGGGAUGGCAAGUCGGUCGUGAAAUCCUUCGGCUCAACCGAAGAACGUCGGCCGAUACUGCCGUUCUUGAGGGAUGCAGAGGAGAUUGGAAUUCCCGGUGUAGCGGUGAAAUGUGUAGAGAUCGGGAGGAACACCGGUGGCGAAGGCGGGUCUCUGGGCAUUUCCUGACGCUGAGGCGCGAAAGCGUGGGGAGCAAACGGG
rnacentral:rRNA from 1 species